UUCCUUGUAGGAAAACACUUGGACACAGGGUCACCCCGACAGUCGGCAAAGGGAAAAGACAAACCCCCGCCUGCCCGCGUGGGAAGCAGCAACUCAGUGUGAGUUCAAACAGCUCCGUUUAUUAGGGCAACAGCCCUUCCUUAUAUAGCAUACUUGUGUACAAGAUAGGUGCCCCACAGAUCUCAAAAGUGUCUCAAAACAAUAUCAUUUCCCAGGCUAUUUUCGAGCACAGCACCUGCUGUUAAUUAAAGCACUACAAGCAGUAAAUUCCACACAUACACAGCUUACUUCUUAUCUAAGGUCAUACCGUAAAUCUUUGAGAAAAGUCAGCUACGCGCUACCAGGCAUGCAAUGUUUCCCAACAUUUCCUGACAUAUGAUGGUACAAGAAGUUCCUCCUAGGUGAAGGUAGGGUACAACUGUCAAGGCAUGUGAAAGGAGAUGUCUUCGAGAGCGAGGAUCAGACCACUAUACAGGUUUUGGAAAGGAGCAGAUUGGCGAGGAACAGCUGCAAAUGUCGCCACUGUCUCUUCAAAGAAGAAUCAAGAAAGAGAAAAUGGACAAAUUUAAAAUUUUCUGAACCGAUAAAAGGGAAGACUGCUUCCACCACCACCCUGCCCAUAUACAUUACUCAGUGAAAUUGCAGAACUUGAAGAAAAAUAAGAUCUAUCCGAUUCAAAGAUCCCCAUGAGGAGGCUCAUUAAGUAGAAAAUGUUGGAUCCACUCAUCUGUUGAAGAUAAGCAGGGAACAAAGAUCUUUAUGUAUUUAUUUUCUGCUUGAUAUACUUCACCAAGUGAAUCCUCUGCCCUCCUGGGCAGAGGAGUGCAGGAGCACAAUAAUAAAGUGUUGGAUCUGAU
rnacentral:lncRNA from 1 species